rnacentral:rRNA from 1 species
GUGGGGAAUCUUAGACAAUGGGCGCAAGCCUGAUCUAGCCAUGCCGCGUGAGCGAUGAAGGCCUUAGGGUUGUAAAGCUCUUUCAGCUGGGAAGAUAAUGACGGUACCAGCAGAAGAAGCCCCGGCUAACUCCGUGCCAGCAGCCGCGGUAAUACGGAGGGGGCUAGCGUUGUUCGGAAUUACUGGGCGUAAAGCGCACGUAGGCGGAUCAGAAAGUCAGAGGUGAAAUCCCAGGGCCCAACCUUGGAACUGCCUUUGAAACUCCUGAUCUUGAGGUCGAGAGAGGUGAGUGGAAUUCCGAGUGUAGAGGUGAAAUUCGUAGAUAUUCGGAGGAACACCAGUGGCGAAGGCGGCUCACUGGCUCGAUACUGACGCUGAGGUGCGAAAGCGUGGGGAGCAAACAGGAUUAGAUAACCGAGUAGUCC